UAUAUCAGCUCUUUGUCUGUGGUACAACUUUUUUCUCUCAAACUUUUUGCCUGCCUUUUGCUUCUGUUUAUGGUGUUUUUUGCCAUUGUGCUUUUUUUUCCAGAUUACUUUUAGAUAGUUGAGUAUACAAUUUUUAAUUGCAUGUAUACUGAGUUAAAGUUAGAAAGCCUGUCCCCAUUUGGAUACAAAGGCAUUUUAAGUCUUCUUUUAAUACCUGUAUGGGUUCAUAUUUUACAUUUAGGUCUGACACACCUGGCAGUUGAUUCUUGUGACUGACGUCAGGGAUGGGUCUAAUUUGACCCUUACAAACAGCCAGCACUUGAUCUAAUACCAUUUUAUACAUGUGUAUGUACGCAUACAUAUUUAUAUAUAUGCAUAUGCGUAUAUUUAUAUAUGUAAAUACACAUGUGUAUAUAUGUAUACACACAUACAUAAAACUGUUUUCUUGUAGAAACAAGCACACGAGGCAGUGGGCUUUUCAGAAACGGUCACUUACACUAAUACAUUUAGAGCAGAGAGCUCAAAGUGCUUGCAUAAUCAUGGGACUAUUAUUUAACGAAUUUAUGCAAAUUAAAAUUCCUUCCCUGGUGGCUACUAAAAUUUAAUUUGUGUAACACUUUACAGUUUAGAAAAGUACCCCCACAUCCUCAGUCUGGUUUACCCCAUCGUAACUCUAAUCCCAAGCAGGCUGUCCUCAACACACCGAGGGGGACUAAGGCCACAGAAGAACAGAUGACUCAGAGAGGCAUGCGGAGUGAGUGCAGUGACCCAGCUCUUCUGCCUCUUGCCAUGGUUCUCCACAGAACGGGCCCCACAGUUCUUUCACAUUAACACAGCUGUGGCUUUACAAAGUCCAUUACGAAGAAGGUGGUGGCUAAGACGCUCAAUUAUCUCUUGCAAGCCAGAGUUGGGUUAAGACUUUACUUGAAGGUUAAAGCUCUCAAAAUACUGAGCAUCUCCGGCAGCUAAAGAGCAGGAAAGUAUCUGGGAGUAUGGCAAAAGAUGUGGCUGUCCAGCAAUUCCACUCCUGGGUAUGUAUCCAAAAAACCCAAACCACUCAUUUGGAAAGACACAUGCACCCCAGUGUUCAGAGCAGCAGUCCUUACAACUGCCAGAUAUGCAGGCAACCUCAGGAUCCGUCAACAGGUGAAUGGAUAAAUGAGAUGUGGUACCUAAAUAAAAUGGAAUAUUAAUCAUACAAAAGACUGAAAUCUUGUCAUUUGCAGCAAUACGGAUGGAGUUGGAGGGCAUCAAGCUAAGUGAAAUAAGUCAGACAAAGAUAAAUACUGUAUGAUAUCACAUAUAUGGAAUUUUUUAAUUACAAUGAACUAGAUAUAGAGAAGCUAGAACCACUGGAGAAGCUAGUGGUUACAGCAGUGGGGGAGUGGGAGGUAGAAACUAGCGGGCCUAAGACAGGCCCCAGGAUGCACCGCACAACAUGGGGAACACGGCCAGCAUGUGGUAAUAACUUAGUGGGGAGUAAUCAUUAAACCUAUAUUAACAUUUUUUAAAACUAAAUAGUACUUAAUAGUACUUCCUUAAUAGUACUUCCACGUGCACAGAAUCUGAAACGUGCACACAUACACAAAACAGAGUGGGAGCCCAACCCGGGUAACGACGGUGAAGCUGUAGCAGUAAAGACAGAACAUACCUUAAUAAAAAAUGCUUGGAGAGUCACAUCCUACACGAUGUCAACUCAGAUUUCUGAACCAAAACCUGGCUUGAAAUUCUAAGGCAACAUGGGGCAACAUCAAAUGACUAGUUUGGCUACUGAGUUGUAACAGCAGCUCUCAGAGUGAUCAGAGGAGCCUUGGAGGUCCUGAGAACUUCACAGGGAUUCCGUGAGGUCAGACUAUUCUCCUCCUCCCAAGAGGUCACUUGCAUUUUUCACUGGUGAAUACUGGUUUGCACUGCAGCUGGAGUAAAACCAGGAGCCCUCUAGCACAAGGCAAGGCAGUGGAAGCAAACUGAAUCUGUAGUCCUCUUCUUCACCACUCUGGGAAAAUACAAAGCAAAUCCACUGAAGAAUUCCCUUGAUGAAGUGAAAUUUUAUUACCUUGCACCAACUGGCACCAGUUCUUCCACAGUUCUGUGAGGAAAUGGAAAGACACAUGUACAUUUCUGCUGCCUCCUGAAGUGUUUCUGUACGACUGAGUGAUCAGCUGAUGUAGCCACUUCUUUCACCUACCUAAAAGACUUACUUACAGACCAACUGGUUCUUCAGGCGUAUUUGGGAGACACUUUUUCAGUAAUGAAUGAAGUGGUCCUAUCAGUACAAGCAAUAUACACUGACAGUAUCUGUCGCACUGAUAGAAUCUGAACUUUCCAGAAAAAAAUUAGAAUCUUGGAAAAUAUGUAUUGGCCACUGAGCCUGACCAUUUCCCACCACUUUAAACUUUUCUAAUGAGAUUUAAUAAUAACUAAAAAUAUGUUAUUUGGGGAGAAGACAUUUUAUAAUGGGACAUGUUAGAAUUUGGAAGAACCUGGAGUUCAGCAAACUGAUAUUUUCUAAAUCCAAUGAAUAAUGUUACAGAGUCAAACAGGGGUAAAAAUCUACUCCAGGUGAAAGACAGACCAAUGGUUUUCUCCACUGUAGUUAGCCUGCAAAAAACACUUGUCAAGUCUUAGCACCGAAAGAAAAACUCACAAUUCUCUGGGAAAGCUAUUAAAAUACUCCUACCUUUUUCCACCUAUGUAUUUCUGAGGCUGCAUUUUCUUCCUGGAAUUCAGACAGCAUUUCAGAUCAGACGGAAUACAGCAGAUGGGAGAACCCAGCUGUCUUCCAUUAAGCCAGACACUAAAGAGUUUAUAAAAAUGUAACACAACGGCACCCUUCACAGACUUUUUUUAGUUUCACAGAGCUGUUUUCUGUAAAGUUAUGCUAACAUGAAAUGGAUUUACUAUCGCUACUUAUAAAUGAAUAUUUUUAAAUUUUCAGCUUUUAUUUACCACAUGGCAAAUAUAGAUAAAUGACCACAUUAAAAAUAAUUCUUUGGGGUUCUUAGUAAGUACAAAUAUAAAGGAAUCCUGGGAAUUCCCUGCCGAUCUAGUGGUUAGGACUCCACGCUUUCACUGCUGAGUGCCCAGGUUGGGAAACUAAGAUCCCACAAGCUGCGAGCAAAAAAUAAGUAAAAUAGAAGAGGAAUCUUGUGACCAAAAAAUUUUGAAAAUCACUGUAUCUAAAUUUUAGAAAAGUAAAUUUUACCCCAAGACAAGACAGAAAAGAAUUGUCACCAACUAAUUUAAAAAGUUUCGGUAAUACAAUGAGUUCAAGGUACAGCUCUCCCCAAACCUGUGUGGUAGUGUGUGUGUGGGUGUGUAUUACUCUCCCUUCAACUAUAUAUAAUCAUAUUUUGAGGAACUGGAGGCAUCAUUAUUUUAUUGCUUCUUAAAAAUAUAACCAUUUCCAUAUAUGCUCUAUCUGAAAAAUAUCUUAAAAUAUCCUUGAAUUUCAUGGACCUCUUCACAUUACUCACUUCAUGUAUUUUUUUAUUUUAUGUAUAUAUUAUAGUUCUUCCUAUAAUUCUCUAAAGUGACCAUGAUCACAGGAUAAAUCUUACAGUGAGAAUUCCCUAUCAAUGUCUACAGUCCUAUUUCAGCAUCAGAUCAGAUCAGAUCAGUUGCUCAGUCGUGUCCGACUCUUUGCAACCCCAUGAA
rnacentral:lncRNA from 1 species